rnacentral:ncRNA from 1 species
GAGAGCACAGUACGAUGAAAGUUGUAAACUGUGUUUCGGGGGGGGGGGGGGGGGGGGAAUUAUUGUCUAUCGUUGGCCUCUAUGGUAGAAUCAGUCGGGCUGUGGUUUACCCUGC